AUGCGGAUCUCAGGUUUUCUAAUAUUUGAAUUCCCGUUCCUCUCUCCCAAAAACCCCAGACUCAUCGUUGCUUCUCCCACAACACACCCUUCAAGAAUCAUCAUUGGGUUGACAUAUUCAUCAUCACUUCCGGCACAUCACAGCCGGUUUAUCUAUGGGGAUAAACAAGUUCUAAUUUACUGGAACGGUCGGCUCCUGUUGUUGAUUGGAAUGAAGCAGAAGCUGGUAACAUCAUAUCAACCACACUUGCUUGUUAAAUGUUGCAGAUAUGCAGACACUUUUCAUGCUCAUAUUUUUAUUAAGAUUAUGUUCAACUUUCCGGAGUUGUUGUUGUAGAGGUAACCAGAGUUGUUUCACUAAAACAUAGUGUGCGGCCACACCAUUUCUUUGCACGUCUUCAUCUGUCCUGUCAUGUGUAAUCAUACAAGUGGUGCUACGAUUGGAUAAAGGGGCAUUCUUCAAAAGUAUGUUGAAUCACACAAGAAGGGUUUCACUCCACCAUCUUUUCUAAAAUCAAAUAUUGCAGUACCCUUGUUAGCACAGGAAAUUCAUUCAAAGUCCAUGAUACGGAAAGCACAGGUUUCUGGUUUAUGAAUACAUGUUGUCAUCUGAGUAUUUAUGUUGGUUAAACAUUUGGUGCAUGUUGUCUUCCAAACAAAGUGAUCACAAAUUGGGGAAAAGAAGAUGGAUUGACUUGUGAGGCUUAAAGUGGCAAUGGGGAGGGGGUAGCAAAAGGCCUUGCUUAUUUGCAUUCAUGUUCUGCAGUUGGAAUUCAUGUUGUACAUAAAGACUUCAAAUCAACUAAUAUUCUUCUGAAGUUUUGAGUGGUGACUAUGAAGCAAAGAUAUUGGUGUGGAGAUGAGCUAGGGUUUACAAUUGUUUUAGAAGGUAACAUCUUGCUUUUACUUAUAUCAGGUACUACUUGCGCAACAGUUCUUACACGUGCAAUAUACUCAUAAGGGUGCAAAUUGGUUAAAGCUGGUAUGAAUGCAAUGGACAUUAGAAGAGGUAUAAUUAGGCCUGGCAAUAAAAACCCAUUUGGGUUUUUUGGGUCAUUUUAAAAAUGAGGAUGGGUCAUGAUGGGUUAACAAAAUAAUUAAGGAUGGGUCAGGAUGGGUUGUAUGAUAUCUAUUUAAAAUAAUUCGUAGGUCAGAAUGGGUAUUACGCUGGGUAAAUGGGUAACUCAAAAAAAGCAUUACAUUGAUGAUGACAACUGCCACUCUCACUCUCUUUCUACCAUUUCUGACACUUGGCUUCCACCAUGUCCGAUCAAAUACUCUUACGCCGGAAUCACUUCCUUCUUCUCCGCCGGAGCAGCCUCACCGUACGUCGUUCCACUUUCAACCUCCCCAAAAUUGGAUGAAUGGUUUCAUUAUUUUGCGACGAUGAACAUGCAUGAUUGAUCGUUUGACUAGCGGAUAUUUCAAUGCUCACAGAUCCUAACGUAUCUGGACUGUCGGGCACUAAAGAUGUAGCUCAAGAGUAUGUUCUAACUGGUGUUGGGUUACUAGCUGGGUCAGCAAUACUUCUUUUAACUUCGAUAUGGGAAACUUGUGUCAUCGUUGGAGGUCGAAAAUUUUCAUCAGAAUCGGGAUCAAGCACAUUAGUGAUUCCUACCCAAAAUCAAUACCAAAAGUUAUCGUAUUUUACUGGUCAGCCCGAUUCCUCAUUCCUCAAUCCAUUUACAUUUUACUUUUUUUUCCCCAUGAUAAACCGGUCGUAACGGGCUAUCGGGUUGACAUGAUUAAUUCACGGGUUAAACAAGUUCACACAAACACAGCCGGUUUAAUUAAACGGGUUAUACCUGGUUGGUGUCAAAAAAAAUUUUGAUUAUAUGACAUUGCUGGGUUAUCCUACUCCUAUUUUAGUAUUUUUUGAUCAUCCCUUGUGUAUCAUGCCUGCAUAAUAGAAUCUUUUCAUCCCUUGCAUAUCAUCCCUGCAAAAUAGAAUCUUACUUCAUCAUGUAAUGCCUAGAUUUUGGGAAGAUGGGUUAUGAGUAUGUUUCUUCAACAAUCUUCCCUUAUAUAUCGCCCUAUGAGGUAUGGACGUUAGUCUACUAAAAACCACCAUCCGUUUCAGUCAUGAAGCUAAUUAUGGUGGUUCUAAGAAUAUUGGAUACAAGUGGUAUAGUGGUCCACUAUAACAUUAUCAAUUCACCACUAUUGCAACACACUUCCUUGUACAUGAUUCUACUGUUAUAUUAUUUGUAUUUGCUCCCGCAAAAUAAUCGGCUUCAUUUAUGGAUUUCUCCUUUCUGAUUCACACAAGAUUAAUCUUGAUAAGGUAGAAUUGUGGCUUGAAGAGGUUCUUUGGGACAAGAAAACAUGACAUGGAUGUGAAUUGUUGCAAGGGAAAAAUGUGAGUGUAAUGGUCACACAGGUGGCUUUUUGAAAGGUAAUGUUCGAGUUGAUCCAAACACCUGUUGUCCAAAAGAAAUUUAGCUUUUUGUGAUUAUAAGAAUUACAUUAUUUCAAUAAUCUAACAUGAAUAAGUUGAUUUACCAUGUUUA